rnacentral:rRNA from 1 species
AUGAACGCUGGCGGCGUGCCUAAUCCCUGCAAGUCGAGCGAACAGACGAGGAGCUUGCUCCUCUGACGUUAGCGGCGGACGGGUGAGUAACACGUGGGUAACCUACCUAUAAGACUGGGAUAACUUCGGGAAACCGGAGCUAAUACCGGAUAAUAUAUUGAACCGCAUGGUUCAAUAGUGAAAGACGGUUUUGCUGUCCCUUAUAGAUGGAUCCGCGCCGCAUUAGCUAGUUGGUAAGGUAACGGCUUACCAAGGCAACGAUGCGUAGCCGACCUGAGAGGGUGAUCGGCCACACUGGAACUGAGACACGGUCCAGACUCCUACGGGAGGCAGCAGUAGGGAAUCUUCCGCAAUGGGCGAAAGCCUGACGGAGCAACGCCGCGUGAGUGAUGAAGGUCUUCGGAUCGUAAAACUCUGUUAUUAGGGGAGAACAAAUGUGUAAGUAACUAUGCACGUCUUGACGGUACCUAAUCAGAAAGCCACGGCUAACUACGUG